rnacentral:rRNA from 1 species
UUGGACAAUGGGCGCAAGCCUGAUCCAGCCAUGCCGCGUGAGUGAAGAAGGCCUUAGGGUUGUAAAGCUCUUUUGGCAGGGACGAUAAUGACGGUACCUGCAGAAUAAGCCCCGGCAAACUUCGUGCCAGCAGCCGCGGUAAUACGAAGGGGGCUAGCGUUGUUCGGAUUUACUGGGCGUAAAGCGCACGUAGGCGGAUUGUUAAGUCAGGGGUGAAAUCCCGGAGCUCAACUCCGGAACUGCCUUUGAUACUGGCAAUCUUGAGGCUGGAAGAGGUUGGUAGAAUUCCCAGUGUAGAGGUGCAAUUCGUAGAUAUUGGUAAGAAUCCCAGUGGCGAAGGCGGCCAACUGGUCCAGAUCUGACGCUGAGGUGCGAAAGCGUGGGGAGCAAACA